CGUGCUACAAUGGGUAGUACAGAGGGUUGCCAAUCCGUAAUGUGGAGCGAAUCCCUUACAGCUACUCUGAGUUCGUAAUGUAGGCUGAAACUCACCUACAUGAAGCGGGAGUGACUAGUAAUCGCAGAUCAGAAUACUGCGGUGAAUGCGUUCCCGGGUCUUGUACACACCGCCCGUCACACCACGGGAGUUGGAGACGCCCGAAGCCGAUUAUCUAACCGUUUGGAAGAAGUCGUCGAAGGUGGAAUCAAUAACUGGGGUGAAGUCGUAACAAGGUAGCCGUAUCGGAAGGUGCGGCUGGAUCACCUCCUUUCUAAGGAGA
rnacentral:rRNA from 1 species